UAAGUAUUUGAGGGCGAGGGUCACACUGGACCGAGCAGAUUGGCCACAGUUAUCCAGGGAAAUGCCACGCAGGCGACGGGCACACUCAGCAUCGGACGCAUCGGACUCACUGCGAUCAGCCUUGAUCGUCGACUCCUUCUGGGAACGGUUAAAGCGACAAGUUUAGGAAGCUUGGCGGUGCUUCCACUGGACUACAGGAGACGUACUUACAUACGUAUGGCGUCACCUAAUCCUGAGGAGCUUCAAGGGAUAAGACGGGAAGUGCGAACCAACCGGUAGUUGAGCGGCAUGCCGAAGACACUUCGGACUCGCGAUUGAAUCCGGAUGGAUUAACAAUGAUCGAGUUCCUGAGAUCGAGACAUUCAUAUGGACAGACGGA
rnacentral:sRNA from 1 species